rnacentral:tRNA from 1 species
CUCCCCGUAGCUCAAUGGAUAGAGCGCCAGCCUUCUAAGCUGGACAUGAAGGUCCGAUUCCUUCCGGGGAGA